GAUAGUUUUCGUCUCAGUGAGCUCAGACUGUACCUGAUGGCCUCUGCAGGGAAGAUGUUCAAGGAUGGCUCAGUGAAUGUCAGCCUUAAGCUGAAGACAUGCACCCUUGAUGACCUCAGAUAAGGCAUCGAGAGAGCCACGUCCAGAAUGAUUGACAGAAAGAAUGACCAAGAUAGCAGCAGUUCUAUGAUUGAUAUUCAUUACAAACAAGACAAAAACACAAGUCUAAUUGAUGCUGUUCUUGACAAGCUGUAUGUGUGUGCCAGCGUGGAGUUUUUGAUGACUGUGGCAGAUUUCUUCAUCAAAGCUGUGCCUCAGAGCCCAGAAAAUACGGCGAAGGAAAUACAAAUGCCAUCAAGACACAUUACCAUGGGGAAAGUCAAGACAGAAAAAGAUGAUUCUGCAAGACGAAACAUGACCUUGAAGGCCAAGAUCACAGACCCGGAAGUGGUGUUUGUGGCCAGCCUGAGCAGGGCGGACGCUCCUGCGCUGUCGGCCUCCUUCCAGUGUAAGCUCUGUGUGUCCGCAUCUGGGCUGGAGCAGGUGACGGAGGCAUCCAUCAAAGACCUGAGAGUGCUCGCUUGUCCUUUCCUCAGAGAGAAGAGGGGGCAAACCAUCACCACAGUCUUGCAGCCAUGCUCUUUAUCUAUGGAAAAAUGUACCUGGGCCUCAGGAAAACAGAAUAUCAAUAUUAUGGUUAAAGAAUUUAUAAUUAAGAUUUCACCCAUCAUUCUGAAUACUGUGAUGACAAUAAUGGCUGCCAUGUCUCCAAAGACGAAAGAGGAUGAAUCGAGAGACACAUCUAAGGAAAUGGAAAGUCUCUGGGAUAUCAAGUCUAUUGAUGAUUAUGAUUCUUGGUUUCUUGGUGUUGACAUGGCAACCGAAGCAACAGAAAGUUUCAGAGCGAUGGAUCAUCCACUGAUAGAGGAAAACUGUGCUGUUGCUGUGGAAUCGGUCCAAGUCACUCUAGAAUGUGGCCUUGGGCACCGAACUGUGCCUUUACUAUUGGCAGAGUCCAAGUUUUCAGGAAAUAUUAAGAAUUGGACUUCCCUGUUGGCUGCUACUGCUGAUGUGACACUGCAGGUUCACUAUUACAAUGAGAUUCAUGCUGUGUGGGAGCCAUUGAUCGAGCGAAUAGAGGGGAAGAAACAAUGGAACUUAAAGCUUGAUGUAAAGAAGAACCCGAUCCAGGAUAAAAGUUUGAUACCAGGAGAUGAUUUUAUUCCUGAGCCCAAAAUGGCAAUUUAUAUUUCUUCAGCAGACACAAUGAAUAUAACAAUAUCCAAAACGUGUCUCAAUGUUUUCAGCAAUUUAGCAAAAGGUUUUUCGGAGGGCACUGCUUCUACUUUCGAUUACUCUUUAAAAGACAGAGCUCCGUUUACGGUCAGAAAUGCUGUAGGUGUUCCCAUGAAGGUGCAGCUCAGUCGUAACCUGAGAGUGAUGGGCUCCCCAGGGAAGAGCAAUGUCUAUGGUGUGGAUGCCGGUCAGCAUCUGGAACUGGAGUAUGCCAGCACGGAACCUUCCUCUCAAGGGAAGCUGUCUGUGCUGAGCCGUCAGGAGAGUUCCUUCUUCACGCUGACUUUCGUACCACAUGGAUACACAGAGGUUGCCAAUGUCCCUGUUGCCCGACCUGGACGGCGGUUGUACAAUGUGUGGAAUCCCCAUGCCAAUUACUCGGACUCUGUCUUGGUACAGAUUGAUGCCACCGAAGGGAAUAAAGUCAUCACCCUCCGCUCUGCGCUGCAGAUUAAAAACCACUUCUCUGUUCCAUUUAUUAUCUAUAAACUGGUUAAGAAUGUUAAACUUCUGGAGCACAUUGGAACAGUCAGCCCCGAAGAGGAGUUCCAUGUCCCUUUAGAUUCGUAUAGAUCUCAGUUGUUUAUCCAGCCGGCUGGGGACUUAGAGCAUCAGUACAAGGAGUCGACCACCUACAUCCCCUGA
ensembl:lincRNA